rnacentral:rRNA from 1 species
GACGAACCGUGCGAACGUUGUUCGGAAUCACUGGGCUUAAAGGGCGCGUAGGCGGGCUGCCGAGUCCGUAGGUGAAAUCCCCCGGCUCAACCGGGGAACGGCCUCGGAUACUGGCGGCCUGGAGGGGGGUAGGGGCAAGCGGAACUGUGGGUGGAGCGGUGAAAUGCGUUGAGAUCCACAGGAACUCCGGUGGCGAAGGCGGCUUGCUGGACCCUUUCUGACGCUGAGGCGCGAAAGCCAGGGGAGCGAACGGG